GAUAAAAAUAUCUUUGGUUGGGGCAACCACGAAGAAAAAAAAACCUUCGUUCAAAAUAAGAAAUUUACAAAUUUAAAAAUUUUUAAAAUAAUUAAAGAUCCAGAAAAUUCUGAUCAAAGAAAAAAGUUACCGCAGGGAUAACAGCGUUAUUCUCUUUAAGAGCUCUUAUUGACAAGAGAGUUUGCGACCUCGAUGUUGGACCGGGGCACCCAAGAGGUGUAGAAGCCCCUAAAGGUGGGUCUGUUCGACCUUUAAAGCCCUACGUGAU
rnacentral:rRNA from 1 species